rnacentral:lncRNA from 1 species
AGAUUAUGGGCACCCUUGACUGGAGCAGAGCCAGCCGGGAUAAGGAGGGCUAAGGAGGCUGCGCCUGAGCACUCCCCGCCUCCGCGCUGUCUGCCGUCGGGCCCCGCCCGGCGCAGCCCUAACGCACGCACCGGAGUGUGUGUAAGGCACAUCCGGGUGUCAGAAGCAGGAGGCCGCGGUUUUAGGGGUCGGGAGAGGGUCUUGGAGAGCCUAGGCAACGAGCCAACUCCAAGCCAGAAGCGCGAGCACCUGCAGAGCUACGGGUUCAGACGAGCGCACCCGUCCAGCCCUCGCUGCGGAGCCCCCUGCCGGCUUGCUUUGGGAGCCACCAGAAGGAAGCAGACCGUCUUACAACUUGGUGCCACGAUGCUAGCUGCCCGUCUCUCUAGACCCCUGUCACAGCUCCCAGGAAAAGCCCUAAGUGUCUGUGACAGAGAAAAUGGGACAAGGUAAGCAACCAAAGGGAGGGUUGGCCUUGAAGACCACCCUUCAUCCUCACUACCUGCCAGACCCCAGUGCUCAGGAGACAGGACUUCCCGUGGCUCAUGGGGCAAAUAGGAGUAGCUUCCUGAGAAUUUUCUAAACCCCUUUGUCUGCUCUGGGGCUGUAUCUCAGGGAUAGAGCACUUUCCUAGUGUACACAUGGUUACUAGUGACUGAGAAAAUGAACCCUUUUCCCAUUUAUCUGAAAAAAAAGAUUGGUUUUGUUUUUGUUUUUUCGAGACAGGGUUUCUCUGUGUAGCCCUGACUGUCCUAGAAAUCACUCUGUAGACCAGGCUGGCCUCGAACUCAGAGAUCUGCCUGCCUCUGCCUCUCAAAUGCUGGGAUUAAAGGAGUGCACCACCACUGCCUGGCUUUGAAAUUCUCUUAGAAUCUUAUAAAACUUGCAAAAAUAACACAUAGGUCCUCCUCACUCAACGACCUUAGCCAUUCGCACCAUAUCAAAUCACAUUGUGAUCAAGAACAUAAAGACAUUGCCACGUAUUUGAUGCUGAUAACCAGGCUGCAGACCUCACCCAGCCUCCACCAAAGGCCCCGUGGGCCUGUUUGUCACACAGCACACAGUGUAGCCCCAGCCACCCCCAUUGCACCCUUAGUCUCUUCCCAUCAGCAACAACUCCUUUAUCACCUUCGGUCACAGUCUUGACCCUGGAGGGCUAUUCAUCAGCUAUUCUGAAGAGUCUCUCCUGGUGUGGGGUCUGUGUGUGUGCCAUUGUGGUUACAUACAGAUUAGCAUGUAGGCAAGGAGUUUGCAGGAUCGAGGUGUGCCCUUCUCAUCACCAGUGUCUGUGUGGCUCAUUUCCUUGGUCUUUUUCCAUUCACACUCUUAAGUAAAUGCCCUGACAUCCUAACUGCUAUGACUUAGAAGGAUUAUCAAUUAAGUUCAGACUAAACACGUGGACCUUUGGUAUUUUGGAGACACCAUUUUACAAUGUUGCUCAGGCCGUUUUCCA